rnacentral:tRNA from 1 species
GACACUAUGGCCGAGUGGUCUAAGGCGGUAGAUUAGAAAUCUACUCUCUUCGGAGCGUCGGUUCGAGUCCGACUGGUGUCG